GAGUGCAAGGAGUUGAACCUGGCUGCAUUCGUUCAAAAGAAACUGGUUUCGUUUUGUGGGAAACCUGGGCGUGAAUCAAAGUUGUCUUUGGUGUGAAGACAUGAAUGUAACUUACCGCUUAUACUUCGAGCCAAGUGACCUGUUUUAGGUUCAAACUCUUGCAUGGAGAACAUUGUGGUUUACAUUCCCAAGGAAGCAUGUGUCAAAAACAUGCCUCUGCAGUCUCUGUCCAGCUCCACAGCUAGGAAGAUCAGUGUCGCUCUGUUUCCGCAUGGAUCAGAGAAACAGAUGCCACAGACAGUGACGUGGAUCUGUCCGGUUGAGCUGCGAGAAGAAGAAGUGGCUGUGUGCAAGGACCGCAGAGAACCGGUCCCGCUGAUCCAGAGGCCACUGGUCUCCAAAAUAACUCCGGGCCAGUUUUCACUGCCUGUUGUGAGUUCCAGCAUCACUGCCUUUAAGGUCUUAAGAACAAUUCUAAAAACACACAAGCCUAAAAUAAAAUUUUCAGGGCUGGAAAAUGAUGCUGCCUCUCUGCCCAGCAUCAGACAAUCUGUUCGGCAAAAUGCUAUUAUUGUGUAUAAUGGCCAGAUCUUCCUCUCAGUGAGGAAGGCACGUUGCAGGCGCGUGAGAUUUCAAAACUCUCCCUCAGCACCUUUAGGUGUGUGUCCUGUUUCUCCUAGUAAACAGAACCACAUAAAUACACCUAGCUGUCAGGCGCAACCGCUUCCGGACUCUUCACCCAGACCACAACAGAGCAAGAGACAGGAUGUUCAGACUCCAGUCAAAGAUCUUGACAUUAACAUACAGAUUUCACCACUUCUGCACAAAGUCUCUGAAGAAAUGCCUGAGCGAUGCUGUAAAGACAAAGAGUGUCAAAAGGAAGAUGAGUCCAGGUCACUGAGUAGCCCACCCAAACCUCCUGAGGAUCAGGAGACGUCUAGUUCCCAGCCUACUCUCCUCCAGCAGCCUCAGAUCAUCCACAUGUCUUCUGUCAUCUCAGAACAGCCUGAAGCAGCAGCAGCAGCAGCAGGAGGAGAAAGAGAGACGCAUGAAGAUGACAAUGAGCGUCUAGAGGGCGCAUUGCUCCCCAGGGCUGAGAGUUGUUUUGCAUUUGAUUUUGAACAGUUGGCGCAGGAGGAGAGAAUCAACCACCUACGAGCUCGGCUGAGACAGAAGGAAGCCGCGCUCAGCAACUUUAACGCAAAGCCUGCGGAUCAGAUUUAGAGGAUCAGACUGCGCCAAAGAUGUCUGUUCAGGAGGUAUAUAAGUUCCUAGUGCAUUGUUUUAUGUGAACAGCAUAAAGGAAGAGUUUACCCAAAAAUGAAUAUUUUGUCAUCAUUUACUCACCCUCAGGUUGUUCCAAAUCUGUAUUGAUUUCUUUCUUCUGCUCAACACAAAAGAAGAUCAUUUUGAAGAAUGUGGGUAGUUGCUGGUCCCCGUUGGCCGACAUAGUACACGAGCCACUGUGUGGUUACCCACAUUCUUCAAAACAUCUUCUUUUGUGUUCAUCAGACAAGAAAGAAAUUCAUAAAGCGUUGGGACAUCUUGAGGGUGAGUAAAUGAUGACAAAAUUUUCAUUUUUUUUAGGUGAACUAUCACUUUAAGAUGAGUAGGUUUGUUAAUGCAAAUGUUUAUUAUUUAAUAGCACAAAUACUGUCAUUUAAAUAAAAUAUUUAUGGCAAAAAAGAUGUUAGCA
ensembl:lncRNA